rnacentral:misc_RNA from 1 species
GAUGAAGAACGCAGCGAAAUGCGAUAAGUAAUGUGAAUUGCAGAAUUCAGUGAAUCAUCGAAUCUUUGAACGCACAUUGCGCCCCCUGGUAUUCCGGGGGGCAUGCCUGUUCGAGCGUCAUUUCACCACUCAAGCCUCGCUUGGUAUUGGGUAACGCGGUCCGCCGCGUGCCUCAAAUCGACCGGCUGGGUCUUCUGUCCCCUAAGCGUUGUGGAAACUAUUCGCUAAAGGGUGCUCGGGAGGCUACGCCGUAAAACAAACCCAUUUCUAAGGUUGACCUCGGAUCAGGUAGGGAUACCCGCUGAACUUAAGCAUAUCAAUAAGCGGAGGA